rfam:Diaporthe ampelina DA_912_scaffold_v01_233, whole genome shotgun sequence.
GGCCGGAUGGUGUAGUGGCAGCAUAUGUCGUUUGGGACGACGUGACCCGGGUUCAAAUCCUGGUCCGGCCC